AGCGUGCGGUACACUUAGCGGCUGCCUCAGACUACAGAACAGAGCAUUUAGAGAAAACAGUUCAAUAUAGCUAGCUGAAUGCGAAACGUGCGCGAAGUGAGCAGCAGCAGCAGCAGGCAGCCCCAUUGGCCAACUGAGUGAAGUCGCAAACGCAAUUUAGUGCCAACUCAUGUAAUUAAAGUGCAACAA